rnacentral:rRNA from 1 species
AUUGAACGCUGGCGGCAGGCUUAACACAUGCAAGUCGAGCGAGCGGCGGACGGGUGUGUAAUGUCUGGGAAACUGCCUGAUGGAGGGGGAUAACUUCUGGAAACGGUAGCUAAUACCGCAUACCAUCAGAUGUGCCCAGAGGGGAGUAGCUAGUAGGUGGGGUAAUGGCUCACCUGGGCGACGAUCCCUAGCUGGUCUGAGAGGAUGACCAGCCACACUGGAACUGAGACACGGCCCAGACUCCUACGGGAGGCAGCAGUGGGGAAUAUUGAACAAUGGGCGCAAGCCUGAUGCAGCCAUGCCGCGUGUGUGAAGAAGGCCUGCGGGUUGUAAAGCACUUUCAGCGAGGAGGCGUUACUCACAGAAGAAGCACCGGCUAACUCCGUGCCAGCAGCCGCGGUAAUUC